UGGAACCGGCGUUGUUGUAUGCUACCAUUUGCCUGCGUGCCUUGGCAUUGUGGGGUGUGGUACGUCCUGCGAUGUUGGAUCUUGCUGUCGUGGGGGCAUAUGAGUGGUAUUGCAAUUGUUUGUGUUUGCUAGCUCUAUGCUUUUGCAUGGAACGGUGAACACCACAAUCCUAGUCAUUUUUCAUCGUGUGCAUUCGGUGUUUGUUUAUAUGUUCCUGUUUGUCUUGCCUAUAAAAUGGUAAACAAGUGGCUGGUUAGGUUUGAACUAUCCCAUACCAUUUCUUGGUGUUGUGGUGGCUUUUGAAGUGAUGCGUGUAUGCCGUUUUAGAUGUUGCGUGCGGCGUCUCUUGCGGUAUGCAUGUAUUCACUGAUUUCUUGGAGGCGGUACUUGAGAUGACCUUUGGUUUAUC
rnacentral:lncRNA from 1 species